GCGGGUAUCGUAUAGCGGCUAUUAUAUUACCUUGCCAAGGUAGAGAUGCGGGUCCGACUCCCGCUACCCGCU
rnacentral:tRNA from 1 species